CCUACGGGGGGCAGCAGUGAGGAAUAUUGGUCAAUGGACGAGAGUCUGAACCAGCCAAGUAGCGUGAAGGAUGACUGCCCUAUGGGUUGUAAACUUCUUUUAUCUGGGAAUAAAAUGUUCCACGUGUGGGAUUUUGUAUGUACCAUAUGAAUAAGGCUCGGCUAACUCCGUGCCAGCAGCCGCGGUAAUACGGAGGAUCCGAGCGUUAUCCGGAUUUAUUGGGUUUAAAGGGAGCGUAGGUGGAUUGUUAAGUCAGUUGUGAAAGUUUGCGGCUCAACCGUAAAAUUGCAGUUGAAACUGGCAGUCUUGAGUACAGUAGAGGUGGGCGGAAUGCGUGGUGUAGCGGUGAAAUGCUUAGAUAUCACGAAGAACUCCGAUUGCGAAGGCAGUUCACUGGACUGCAACUGACACUGAGGCUCGAAAGUGUGGGUAUCAAACAGGAUUAGAUACCCUGGUAGUC
rnacentral:rRNA from 1 species